AUCUUGGGAGGCUGGUGGUUCAGAAUCUACAAGUGAGCUGAUUAAGCUUGGUGACACAGCUUAUUUGUUCUCUCUGAGAAAUGAAGUGUUACCAUCAGGAAGAAAAGUCCCAAAAAAGGCUGCAGGAUCUGAAGUACGUGCAACUUUUAGAGAAUCAUUUGGUCUAUCCUCCAGUGGAAAAAACACUCUUAUUUCAGAAAGACCAGCAAAAUCUGCACAAUUGUCUGAAGAGCAGUUGAGUUCCAGUGCUAAGAAGCUUGGGGAUCCAAUCCGUCCAGCAAUUGCUUUGCAGCCCCCCUACCAGCCUUCCAUCAGUGGAGUUUCUUAUCUAGCUGAAAGAAACAAUAUCACAGGAGACAGGGAUUCCUCACCGCCUUUAUUUCCACUUAAACCUCAAGAACUGCCACCUACUGUUGUAAGUGUGAUAUUUCCUUUGUUUUCAUUUAACUGUCAUCAUUCAAUGGCAUUGUAUAUU
rnacentral:lncRNA from 1 species